AGUGGCGAACGGGUGAGUAACGCGUGAGUAUCUGCCCUUAGGAGGGGGACAACAGUUGGAAACGACUGCUAAUACCCCAUAUGUCUACGGAUGAAAGAUUUUAUCGCCUGAGGAUGAACUCGCGUCUGAUUAGCUAGUUGGUGAGGUAAUGGCUCACCAAGGCGACGAUCAGUAGCUGUUCUGAGAGGAUGAUCAGCCACACUGGGACUGAGACACGGCCCAGACUCCUACGGGAGGCAGCAGUGGGGAAUUUUCCGCAAUGGGGGCAACCCUGACGGAGCAAUACCGCGUGCGGGAGGACGGCCUGUGGGUUGUAAACCGCUUUUCUCAGGGAAGAAGACCUGACGGUACCUGAGGAAUCAGCAUCGGCUAACUCCGUGCCAGCAGCCGCGGUAAUACGGAGGAUGCAAGCGUUAUCCGGAAUUAUUGGGCGUAAAGCGUCCGUAGGUGGUUAAUCAAGUCUGCUGUUAAAGAGCAGAGCUUAACUCCGUUUAAGCGGUGGAAACUGGUUGACUAGAGAGUGGUAGGGGUAGAGGGAAUUCCCAGUGUAGCGGUGAAAUGCGUAGAUAUUGGGAAGAACACCGGUGGCGAAAGCGCUCUACUGGGCCACAUCUGACACUGAUGGACGAAAGCUAGGGGAGCGAAAGGGAUUAGAUACCCC
rnacentral:rRNA from 1 species